GCCAGGCACGGUGGUGCAUGCUUGUAAUCCCAACGGCUUGGGAGGCUGAGACAGGAGGAUUGCGAGUUCAAAGCCAGCCUCAGCAAAAGCAAGGUGCUAAGCAACGGAAUGAGACCCUGUCUCUA
rnacentral:sRNA from 1 species